rnacentral:lncRNA from 1 species
UCUCCCUAUUUUCUAGAUUACAACUAGAACUAACUAGAACUAGAACUGGAGGAACUAGAACUAGAACUAGAUGAACUAGAACUAGAUCUAGAUGAACUAGAGGUAGAACUAGAAGAACUAGAGGGAUCCUCUCUACUUGGAUGAAGAAUUGAAACCCUAGCUUUGAUUCUGCAGAAGAGGUAUGAUCUCCAGGGGCCAGGGGGUCUGGUUUUAUAGUCCCUUCAAGUGAAUCUGGGUCGUCGGAUCAAACCGACAUUGAUCGUGUGGUUCUCCUUGAUCCUUUAGGUCGGUGGAGCAUAAUCCGCGAAACGUGUCCUGAUUGGGCAAUGUAGCUGGGCGGGUGCCUUGCCUCCGAGCCCGAUUUCCUUCCCGUUCGUUCCCGUGGCUUCUGGAUUCUUCUAGAUGAUAGAAAAUUGCGCGACACGUUAAUAUCUCUAUGUAAACCUGACGUGUGGGCCUUUCUUCCAUAUUUCCUGAUAACCCCCUGCAGAAAUAGAUAAACAACAAAACUCGUGGAAUUCUGUCAGAUAAAACCCUAAGUCUAGGUGUUGGUUGCAUUGUUGACGGUUCUUAAGUAUCAAUUUUAAUUAUCAAAUAAACAUGAGAAAGGACCAAUAUGCAACCAUUACCUAGAAUUAGGGUUUGAUCUGACAGAAUUCCACGAGUUUUGUUGUUUAUCUAUUUCUGCAGGGUGUUAUCAGGAAAUAAGGAAGAAAGGCCCACAUGUCGGGAUUACAUAGAGAUAUCAACGCACCGCGUAAUUUUACAUCAUCUAGAAGACUCCAGAAGCCACGAGACCGAAGCGGAAGCGAAGCUGGGCCAGGCCUAGGGCGCCCGCCCUGGUAGCCUGGGCGCCCGCCCCCCUGUUGGAGCCAAUUCAGGACUCCUUUGCUCGGGAUAUUCCACCGACCUAUUGGAUCAAGAAAAACAUAGUACCACCUCGCCUAUCGACCCAAAAAUGCAUAGAAGGGGAGGACUAUAUAAGCAAGGCCCCCCUGGCCCCUGGAAGACAUGAAGAAAUUAUCAUAGAGACUGAGGGGUGCCCUCGAAGGAAAACCUCUUCUCUAAUUAAUAUUUCUUUUUAGGCUUAGCAAUCAAUGUAAGGUAGAAAUAGAUCUUCUAGUUUCUACUAGAUUGAGAGAGAUAGAGUGGAGGUGUAGAGUGGAGGAAGCCCGGCCUGUCGGUUUUCUACUCCAAGCUUGUACCUGCGGGAUCAAGUUCUCCUAACCCGAAGCUUGCUCCUAGGAUUCUUCAGUAAUUCGACUUCUAAAUUCUAGUAAGUUCUUGUUUUAUUGUUCUUAUGGUUUAUGAGUUUACUUUAAUCUCUUCGCGUAGAGUUUAGAGUAAUCAUUGCGGGCGUAAACGUGGUGUUUAGGCUGGGGUACUCAUAGAUAUUCCCUGACUAGCUGGACCGUGGUAGUAGUGAGGAACGUGACAUUUCCGAGCUACCUUUGUAGAUCACAUCUCGUUAGCAGGAAGGAUAGGGUUUAUAGGUGCGGGUUGAACAUCCUUUGUGGUGUCUAGAUUCCGUUAGCCUCCCCAUUAGAAUAGUAGAUCAUCCUUACCAAGGUUAGAAGGAGACUACGGUUGCAGUCUUCUCUAUUUAUCACUCACAUCGAAAGACAUUCUUUGUGCCUAAAGGGAUAGUAGUAAUAGAUUUGGUUAGUCAGAUGCACCCUUUCUCCCAGUGGUAAAAAUAUAAAUACGAUACUCUGGAAAACCUCCCGGGUGAAAUGCUCACCGAUAUCCGUGCGCUUGCGGAUCAUUUCCUUAUUGCGUUACCAAAUAUCAACAAGCAUUUCUGGCGCCGUUGCCGGGGAGAAAGACGGUUUGCUGAGAUAACUUUGAGUCUUGCUAUUAUCUUGUAUUAUACUUUUAUACUUUUAUUCUUUUAUCUAUUUAUCUUUAUGGAUAUCUCAAAUUCCAUAACUAUUAUUAAAUUCUUUGCACCUUCGGAGACCAGCCAUAGACCAUGGGAGUCAACACGUCCUGCCCCUAAUUAUGAUCUGUGUCCGGAGUUGAUUGCAAUAGGUCAAAACCAACCCUUUUCUAUAGCUGAGGUCCUAUCUUUUAAUCAAAAAGAUAACGCACUUUUAGCUACACCUAGGGAAUCUUUUAAUUUUUCUAUAAAUUCUGGUAUAGACCUAUCCCUACAAGACCAUGUUUUUCCUAGAUAUUUUCACAUUGGUCUUAAUCAUAUAACCUUUGGUAGAGUCUUUCUUUCUUUAUCUAUUAGUAAAGGAAGGUAUGUCUUCAUUUGUAGACAUCCUUCUUGUACUAGUCUUCAUAGAAAAAUCAUAGAGAUAGAGAAGGAAUCAUCUCCCAUACAAGGAGAGGAAGUUUCAAUAGGCGAUUUCCAAACUUUCCAAUCCCAUGAUUCGGCUAUCCAACCCAUCCUUGAGCCUAAUAAUCUCUACUAUGCUCUUUCUCUUGAACCUCCCGAUAAUCCUAUGAAUCUCUCUAGACAUCCCAUGCAUAAGAAGGAGGAUCGAGGAGAGCAACAUCAAUGGCUAGAGGGCAUUAAAAAUUCAUGUGCUAUCACCACAUUUGAGAUCUCUAACCCUCUCUUCUUUUCUAUUUAUAAAAACUUUAAAAGAGCGGUUGUCGAUGCAUAUGUUUAUAAUAAAUAUUGCGGAUCUCGUCGAGUUAAUUGAUGGUUUCCCAAGGACAAGCUUAGUGUCCUAAAACAAGCACUUAUCAGAUUGUAACAUGAACUUCUAAUUACUUGCAACAUUACCUUGUGUAUUGAGCAUAUAAGAUAAUUGUAGAAAUAUUCCUUCGGGUAUUCUUGUCACUAACCUUUCUAGGAUUGGAGCAAGAAGACCGGAUGAAUGACAAGCGCAAGGUAUGCCCAACAAAUCAACAUGCAACAUUGAAUUAAAUUCAUCCAAUCUUGAAUUUUGCAAAAUUCAAGCUUAGGGGAGUACUUCACAUAAAACAUCCUUUGCCAUGUUGCUAUGUUGGUUGUCCUUACCUUUGAGACAUGCUCAAUUUGUUAAAUACUAAUCACACUACUUCAUCUCCACUUAAGUAGAUCUCUAUAAAUGCCAUCACGCUACCUUUGUUUAUCCUAGUAAGUGUUAGUUUGGAAGUACUGCACAUACUUCUAUUGGCUUUUAAAUUAAGCAUGGUGCUUAGGUUAAACAGCCUUCCUUAAUCUGAUUAGACAUGAAGUCUAGUUCGGUUAUCGAACUAAAAAUUGCUUGUGUAGACAUUGGUAUAUUUUGUGGGACUAACCCCUGCAGGAAAACUUUCAAUAUCAACCUGGGAAGUCCUAAGAUAAACUCACAUUGGAGAUAAAGAAAGUGACACAUGAAGUUUAACAAUUUGCACAAGAAAGACGUAGCUCAUAAGAGAUGAUCCAUGGAGGGAGCCACAAACUCGAUGCACAACCGCUAGAAAGGAAAGCUUCUACAAGGUGAUACUGUACCAUCACCCUUCAAAGGUAACAUCUUAAGGUACUUGACUAUCCUUUUAUAAGUUUCUCCUUGGUUCUGGCGUUCACAUAAAUAAAGAGACAAACAUGUAUGAUUUAUAACUCUAAAUUAACCAACCUAACUGAUUCAACAUGUUUAGUCCCUUAAUCUUUGUUCUUAGUACUACCUUCGUAAUCCCACGCUUCUAAACAUAUAAGCUAAUAUGUUGCACAUUCAAUCUUUCGAAGAUAAAAACAAAACAUAAAUAUAGAUAGAUUAUCUUUCCAUUAGGUUGAGCCAUCUGAUCUAACAAAUGUUUUAAAUGCUACACUCAUGAUCCAUCAACUUUGUCUUGCUCACUAUGCUUAAGGUUAGAAAAGAACAAAUACACUUUUGGUUCUGUUGGUGUUUUCCACCAACAGAGCCCAUGCACUUGAUCUCUACCUUGUCUCUAUGAGCAGGACACAUUUUGAGAAACGUGAAGGCGUUUUACAACUCCCAGAUUCCAUUAAGUGAAGAACCGGGAUCUACGAGCACAAACACAAUGGAGAUCAGACACUUAGUUUCCCAAAGGAAAUAUUAAAGAACCUCUGUGUCCAAGUUGGUACCUUGUACGCUCCAGCAAACUUCGUGGUGGUAGAGACUGGUACUGAGGAGAGGGCACCCAUCAUCUUAGGGAGGCCAUUCCUAAACACCAGAGCUGUCAUCUACGCUAAUGCUGCCAAGAUCAGUCUCUACAUCAAGGGGAAGAAGGAGACUUUUCUUCAAGAACAAGACUACAUAAACUUCAGAGCAAUCCCGACAUGAACCAAGGAAGAGAACAGGAACAAGCAAAUGUGGACCGAGUCAGCUAAGAUGGUCACUGCAGCUCAAGGAGGUCAAGAUCGUCGACUCAAGUCACCUUUCUUGAUCAAGAAGGACGACCCUGUUGUUCCAAUCAUCGAGUGCACAACCAAUAGAUACUCUUUUUAGAAAACACUCUAUGACACCGGAUCUAACGUCAACAUAAUGGCCGCAGUCACUUAUCAGCUCCUGCAUGGAACCAUGCCCCUACAACCAAUAUAUAUUUAGCUCCAGAUAAUUUUUAGAACAAUGAUAUGGGAGAAGACGAGUACGAUCCACCCAUCAUCUUACGAAGACCAUUCCUCAACACUAUCCAAGUUAUCAUCUACAUUGGAACUGGAGAAGUCCACGUGUAUUUCCCCUCUGAGAAGGUACGCCAUUACUUUAAUGAUUCUAACUAUAUAGUUGAAGAUUCUAAGCAGGUCAGGACAAGAAGAAGACGACGCAACCGCAACCAGAGGAGGCAAAUCAUCAGGGACGGAUGGCAGACUACGAAGGAAAAGUUGUAAGGUCAGAAGACGUUGAGUUUAAACAGAAUUAUCCAGAGGAGACCGAAGCACCAAGUCAGGUGUGGAAAAGGAAGAUAACUAUACAUGAAGAGGAGGCGCUACCGGAAGUACCGACUACGCCACCCAACGAACCUCAGGAUAAUUGAGAAGGAGGAGAGUCCCGUUCGGAGGACUUAAAAACACCGAACGCCUUGCCAAGAGGUAAACUUGGUAGUUAUCGUUUCCCUUUCAAUUAUUUCAAGUAGUUCCCUUAGUUAAUUAAGUUCUAAACAGAAAGUAAAAAUGUGAAAAACAGUAAGCCCCAUGUGAGGAUACGAGUGGCAUAAAACCCAUAAGUACAUUCACUAUGGUGGCAUAAAAAUAAAAUAAAAAUAUUUUUCUGCUUUAUAAAAUAAAAAUAUAAAAACAGGGAGUAAUAAUUAUUAAGGAGUCUCAACAUGAUAAAGGCUAGAUAUUUAUGCUAACACUUAAUCAGUUCCACAAGCUUUGUUGUCUAUUUGAGCUCCACAGAAUCUAAGAAUCAAGAAGACUGGCAGACGGAGGAUAUUCUAAUCGCUGUCACAAUGCUGCUGACUUUCAAAUACACCUCUGCCACCUGCUAGCUACAUCAAGAGAAAUUACGUCAAAAUUCAGCUUGGGAGAGAGCACCCCCAUUUAUCUCUAUAAGUAUUUCUAUCUAUCUAUCUUUAUACUUAUAUUAUUUUAGAAUAUAAAUAUACAUAACUAUGAAAAACCAAAUAAAGAUUUUAUGCUUAUAUAUAUAUAUGUCUUUUGCUUAGUGUGUUUAAUAAAUAAAUAAAGUGGCUAUGCUAAUCUGUAUCUAAAUAAAACUCAAGCAUGGAAAUGAUGAAUAGUUGCUCUGCCUAAUUUGCACAUUUUAAGUUCUCUCUCAAGUCUAGACAUAACUGUUAUAAUUUAAAGCUUGCUCUAGACCUAAACUUGUGGGAUGAAAACUUGAUCUGAAAUCUAAGUUGUUAACGGAUACGAUAUGGGAAGGUUGAGCUGCUGUUUAUCUGUUUCUAGAGAUGCUAGAAUUCUGGAGAAUUUUAUCUUUGGAAAUCUUUAAAAUGUUGCAUGAUGAGUUCCUGUAUGAUGAGAGUUUAAAUUCCUACCACAGCCUUAUAUACAUGCUUGCUAGACUUCGAGCCACACAUUUACUUUUUACUGCUUAUGAGCAUUGAGUGUGGUCAAGCUGUGUAGACCCUUAGGAGCUUGUCAUGUGGUUAAAUCAAGAUUCACUUGCACGUUCACUCACACAUGCUACUUCUACUCCGGAAGUACCAUCCACAUAUAUCCAUACAUUUCCAUCUUCAGAAUCACCCAAAAAUAUUCUACUCCUAAUCCGGCAGAGAAUAGCCAAAAAUAAUUUUGUUCUUCCUUGUGUAAUAAAUGUCUCAAGAUCAAUAAAGAGUAUUAUUAUUAUGUCUUGUGUGUCUCUACUUUAUUUUUGUGCAAGAAAGCAGAAAACAAGUAUGGCGGAGAUCCCUCGACAUGCUAAACACACUCCGACUACACCAAUCCACGAUUCAGGUACACACUCUGCACACUUUACUUUACACAUAUAUAUAUUGUAGAUUAUGCAGAAUAUUGUUCCCGACAUGAUAAAAUAAAAAGAUUAAAAUAUUUCUAAUCAUGAUUAAUCUCAAUCUGUGAUAUUUCCUGAAAACUUGCAAAUUAUUAUAAAAUCAUUUUAAACCCUGUGUUACUUAAGUCAAUAUGGAAUAUGUGAUGAUAGAGUAUGAGUUUCUUAUUCUUGAUAUCAUUGUUGCUUGGAGAAUUUAUUUCAAAAUAUUCAAAAUUCUAGCUACCAACCUCAGUGUUUUAUAUGCCUGAUAAAACUGAAAAUAUUAAUUAUAAAAGCUAUUUGCUCUGUAUUGAGUUUGUUCAAAAUGAGUUAGACCCUUGUUGAGAGAUUUAUCAUGCUCCUAAGAUCAAGACAUUAUUUCAGUAAGAUUCACUCUUCCGAAGUAUUAUUGCAUUAGAGGCAUGGGCUAUGCAAAAAUAGAAGAUAUUUCGAGGAAAUAAAAAGGAGCAAGUGCUCGACAACCGCGCAGAAAAAAUGGACAAGUGUCCGGAAGUAGAAUUAGGGGUACCUCGGUAUCCACUUAAAAAAAAGAUAAAAGAAAAAAAAAUGACAGCCCAUGGUCCCUCUAAUAAGCAAUAUGCCAGCAAGAGUUGACAAAGUUUUUAAUUUCCAAAGUCUUUGAUCUAAGAGUAUGACAUUUCCCUCCUCGGAUCCCGUUUUGAUCAGGCAAUAAAUCCAAAGUAAGUAUGCUUGAGAAUUUUUGCAAAAUAAAACAGCCUCAGUGAGAUAUGUAUAAAAGAUAAUGAGUGAUCUGAGAGAACCUAUGAGGAUCAAAAAGGUAUGCUAACUUUCUUUCAAAAAUAUACAAAAACUCCAAGUGACAGGAUUGAAAAGAAAGAAUCUUUACUCUUAACCAUAUACUUCCCUGACUACAAUACACAGUGGAAUUUUUAACACCCUGCAAUUAUAAAGAGAAUGUUUUAAAUGUUUACCCCAGAUAUUAUUCUUAACCAUCCUUUUCUCGAGGACGAGUAAAAGCCUAAGUAUGGGGGUAUUUGUUGACGGUUCUUAAGUAUCAAUUUUAAUUAUCAAAUAAACAUGAGAAAGGACCAAUAUGCAACCAUCACCUAGAAUUAGGGUUUGAUCUAAUAGAAUUCCACGAGUUUUGUUGUUUAUCUAUUUCUGCAGGGGGUUAUCAGGAAAUAAGGAAGAAAGGCCCACAUGUCGGGAUUACAUAGAGAUAUCAACGCACCGCGUAAUUUUACAUCAUCUAGAAGACUCCAGAAGCCACGAGACCGAAGCGGAAGCGAAGCUGGGCCAGGCCCAGGGCGCCCGCCCUGGUAGCCUGGGCGCCCGCCCCCUGUUGGAGCCAAUUCAGGACUCCUUCGCUCGGGAUAUUCCACCGACCUAUUGGAUCAAGAAAAACAUAGUACCACCUCGCCUAUUGACCCAAAAACGCAUAGAAGGGGAGGACUAUAUAAGCAAGGCCCCCCUGGCCCCUGGAAGACAUGAAGAAAUUAUCAUAGAGACUGAGGGGUGCCCUCGAAGGAAAACCUCUUCUCUAAUUAAUAUUUCUUUUUAGGCUUAGCAAUCAAUGUAAGGUAGAAAUAGAUCUUCUAGUUUCUACUAGAUUGAGAGAGAUAGAGUGGAGGUGUAGAGUGGAGGAAGCCCGGCCUGUCGGUGUCUACUCCAAGCUUGUACCUGCGGGAUCAAGUUCUCCUAACCCGAAGCUUGCUCCUAGGAUUCUUCAGUAAUUCGACUUCUAAAUUCUAGUAAGUUAUUGUUUUAUUGUUCUUAUGGUUUAUGAGUUUACUUUAAUCUCUUCGCGUAGAGUUUAGAGUAAUCAUUGCUGGCGUAAACAUGGUGUUUAGGCUGGGGUACUCAUAGAUAUUCCCUGACUAGCUAGACCGUGGUAGUAGUGAGGAACGUGACAUUUCCGAGCUACCUUUGUAGAUAACAUCUCGUUAGCAGGAAGGAUAGGGUUUAUAGGUGCGGGUUGAACAUCCUUUGUGGUGUCUAGAUUCCGUUAGCCUCCCCAUUAGAAUAGUAGAUCAUCCUUACCAAGGUUAGAAGGAGACUACGGUUGCAGUCUUCUCUAUUUAUCACUCACAUCGAAAGACAUUCUUUGUGCCUAAAGGGAUAGUAGCAAUAGAUUUGGUUAGUCAGAUGCACCCUUUCUCCCAGUGGUAAAAAUAUAAAUACGAUACUCUGGAAAACCUCCCGGGUGAAAUGCUCACCGAUAUCCGUGCGCUUGCGGAUCAUUUCCUUAUUGCGUUACCAAAUAUCAACAAGCAUUUGGAUCCUUUUCCAUGAUUAAUUGAUGGUUAAUUGUGAGCAUUAAGGACCGUCAACAACAACCAACACCCAAAAUUAGGGUUUCAUCUGACAUAAUUACACGAGUUUUGGUGUUUGUCUAUUUUUGUAGGGGGUUAUUAUGAAAUAUGGAGGAAAGGCCCACACGUCGGGUUUACAUAGAGAUAUUAAUGUGUGCGCCAAUUUUCUAUCAUCUAGAAGACUCCAGAAGCCAUGGGAACGAACGGGAGGCCGAGCGGGCCCGGGGGCUGGGCGCCCGCCCUCCACCCUUGGGCGCCCGCCCUGCCCUGGUGACCAAUCAGGGCAGGUCUCGCGGAUCGUGCUCCACUACCUUUGAGGAUCAAGGAAAACCGUGCGAUUAAGGUCGUUUUGAUCUGACGGCCCACGUUCAUUUGGAAGGGCAAUAUAAGCAGGCCCCCCUGGCCCCUGGAGAACAUAUCUCUUCUACAGAAUCAAAGCUAGGGUUUCAAUUAUUCAUCCAAGUAGAGAUGAUCCCUCUAGUUCAUCAAGUUCUAGUUCUAGUUCAUAUAGUUCUAGUUCUAGUUAGUUCUAGUUGUAAUCUAGAAAAUAGGGGGAGAGAAGAGGAGAGCGGAGGAGGAGCCAGAUCUGUUGGAUCUUCCUCAAUAUUGUACUUCUGCAGCAACUGGUUCGUUAUUCAUCGUUCUCCAAGUUCUUCAAUUCAUAAUUCCUGAGUUCUUUUAUUAUUUUUAUUUGCAUUCAAGUUUUUUAUUGGAUUCCCGCUUGCAUCAAGUGCUGUAGUCUUUAUAACGUUAGAGUAGUAAUUAAUAGAUUAGACAUGGUGUUUAGUCUUGCAAUUACCUGGAAUUGCACCUAAUCCUGCGAAUUGUUGUGGUAGCCGUAGAGUAGUGACAGCCCUAACGGUCGACGUAUUCCACCUCGUUCGGAUCGGUGUUUGUAGGACCAUAGUCAGAGCUUCCUAGCCCCCUUCUCAUCUCUUUCUGUGAUUAGUGUUCUGAUGUCCCAAAAUAAAUAAUCUUUGAAGUAAUUCUUGAUUCUUAGAUCAACUAGAGAACUCUCAGGAAACUUCCUCUCUUCCCACCAAAAAUAAUUAUAUAGUUAUCCUUGGGUGAUCUUGAUUCUUAAUUAAUACACUCACGUUCCCUGUGGAAAAUCGAUACUCUGGAAUACUCCCGUGUGAAAGCUACAUCAGUAUCCAUGCGCUUGCGGAUUUUUCUGUUUGCGUUUAAAAUAGCCAAUAGACAUGAUCUAGAGGUAAGUAUAUAUCAUGCUUUAAAUAUCGAUGCCUGCUCGUUUACUUUAUUAUGCUAGCUAUACCUAAUCAAUGACCGUCUUAUUGGGCAGGGCUUGGGCUGGGCUACAACAAAGAUAUCGUACAGAUAUGAAUGUGCCACUUCCCCCUCCUGUUCUACUCCCUUGGGUGCCCACGCAGCCGUUUAGAACGAAUCUAUGUGGAUACUACGUUUGUGAAUUUAUGUGGUGCACCCUAUUUAAACCUGCUCAAAGUGUUCUAAAAGUAAGUAACAUGCAUGUGUAUACAGUAAAUUCAUAUCUUAUUUAUUUGUUGGAACUAAAUAGAUUUUAUGUAUAUUAAUAUCUUUUUUAACUAAUGCAAAUGGAAGGAGUGGAAUAUGAAAGGUAAAGUGUUUGAGUACACAUUACUCCUUAUAGUCCAGGACGAUCGCCGAAUUUAUCAACGAUCAUGUCAUUGUGGAAGACGACGAGUUCCACUUAUACCCAUAGGGCUUCAAGCCCAUUCCAAACAAGGACGAACACUUGUAUGAGCUUUGAGUGGGCGGGCAAACAUUAUGUAAUCAUUAACCGGCGACAGCACACUUGAUUAUUACUUGUACAUAAUAUUAUUAUUGUAAAUGUAAUGUGUUUGUACGUAUGUGUAUAGCUAUAUAAUAUAUAUAUAUAUAUUACGGAUAAUAUAUAUGUGUAGUUUCAUACUUUAUUUGUGUGCAAUAAUGACGCUCUCGUAUAGGUGCAACGUAUAUGGAUAAUAGUAGCGUAUAUGAAUAAAUUGGUGAACAUAUACAAUUGAAAACCAAAAUCAAUAAUGAAAUGAAAAUGAAAAAGAAUAAGAAAAAGGAAAAAACCCUUUAAUCCUGGUUGGUAAUACCAACCGGGACUAAAAGGGGUGGCGCCACGUCACUGCCUGGCACCCCCUCUAGUCCCGGUUGGUGUUACCAACCGGGACUAAAAGUCCCCCUUUAGUCCCGGGCCGGCGAGCCGGUACUAAAGGUGGGACUUUUGGUCCCGACCCCUUAGUCCCGUCUCGCCACCCGGGACUAAAGGUGGUUUUCGACCGAGACAAAAGGUCGGUCCUGUACCAGUGCUCGCUACUAUUGGAACCGAAAGCAGCUUGGUGACGGGACCCUGGUGGGGAUCGAGGCAGUGAUUCCUACCAGUGGAGGUGACCCCGCCUAGGGUGGCUGGGUGUACGAGUCCUGAGGCAGCACACCUUUCUAGGGUGCCAGCAGGGCUGCUUAUGCAGUUCUAAGGGAUAUCAUGGAGCGGUUUCCGCAAGAGCUAGCCCACGUCUUCGCUGGGGUGUUUCCCUGGGGUGACCCCUACACUUUGGUGUGGGAUCAGUCCGAGGUGAAUGCUCUAGAGUGGAGUGCGGAUGAGGAUCAGCACGGUGACAGUACAACUAUGAGUGCUAUGUUUGCCAUGAUGAAGACCUAUGGGGGUCUAGAGCGCUGUUUGGGACGCUUGUCUGGGUCUCUACUGACAAUUCAGGAUGAGAAGCGCCAGCUGUGGCAUGAGUUUGAUAGUGAGGUUGAGAGGCUAUAGGCAGAGUUGGCCCCUGUGACUCUAGAGAGGGACCAGGUAGUCCAGCAGAAUAGUGUGUUGAGUCAGGAUCUGCUAGCAGUGAGAGAGCAGAGGGGCAGGGUGACCAUAGCUCAUAGGAACAGCAAGCGCAUGCUAGUUCAUGUGCUUGGUUAGACGAAUGAAGCCUGGCAUGAGGAGGACACCCUGAGGGCCCAACAGCUGGAGCUUGAGCAGCAGCUAGCUAAUGCUGAGGAGUACAAUGAGAACCUGCAUGAGGAGAUCCACCAGCUGCAUAACCAGCUCCACCCUCACCACCUACCUGGAGCAGCUGAGUUAGACUUUGAGGAUGAGAUGGAUGAGGAUCCAGAGAUGGAGGCAGCCGCUAGUGGAGAUGAGGACGAGGAUGGAUCCAGCAUGGACAGCGACCAUAGCGAGUAGAUGCUAGGGCUCUAGAGCUAGUCCUUCUUCUUUUGCUGUUGUUGUUGCAUGGCAUGUGUUUGUAAUCUAUUGGAUCUGGGAUGUGUAAGACUUUAUGUGUUGAGUUGUGUUGACACUGAAAGUCCACUGUAUGUAUGCUGGCAAUUUUGGAUGUAUGCGAACCCUGUUGGCUAAAUGUUAAGUAAUCAGUUAGUGAUGUUGUGUGUGGAUGAUGAAUUAUUGUGCCUCUGUUUAUUGUGUGGAUUUAUUCUCAUCAGUAAAUUCAGUGUGGCAUGAUUUUGCAUAUGUCUACCGGUUGAUGGCAACUCCUAAUGACUGCUUAUUGUUGACGCAUGCAGAUGGUGCAAACGCGUGGCGGGGGUAACCGCAACCCUGGUGCUGGAGAAGGUUCCUCCGAAGGUGGGGCUCGCAUAAAUGAGGAAAGAGCACCAUCACCGCCACCACCACCGCCUCCUCCGUACACUGCGAUUUGUUUUUCACGCAGUUUCUAGGGAGCCAAUGAAACAUGGAGCAAAUGCAGCGAAACAUGGAAGCUGCCCUACGCAACAUCACUGACAACACCUGCCGUGGGGAUAACCAGGGAGGUCACGAAGUGAACCAGUAUAACUCUUUCAAGGACUUUAUGGACACAAAACCACCGGUCUUUAAAGAGGCCAUGGAACCGCUUGAGGCGGAUGACUGGAUUAACACCAUAGAGCAGAAGUUCCGUCUCCUUUAGCUGACCAAAGAGCUCAAGGUAGAGUACGCAGCGCAUCACUUGCACGGACCUGCUAGGAUAUGGUGGUCCCAUCAUCGUACCACCUAUCCAGAGGGGACCCCGAUCACCUGGAACCGCUUCACCACCACUUUUUGGGGAAAUUAUAUUCCUCUGAGUGUGGUGGAUUUGAAGAUUGGAGAAUUCAUGAAGCUGUCUCAAGGAACCAAGUCUAUGAAAGAGUAUCUACACGCUUUCAACAAUCUUGCUCGAUACGCUCUAGAGUUUGUUAACAAAGACGCCAAGAAGAUUGCUAGCUUCCAGAGAGGCUUGAGCCCAAAGAUGCUGAAGACUACGGGUAUAGGGACCCGAGCUACUUUUAGUGCCUACAUCAGCGACUGUCUUACCCAAGAGAACAAUAACAAUAACUAUAGUGCAUCCAAGUCACGUAAGAGGGCUUUUGAAGCUGGAUCGUCUCAGUCUAGGGCACCAGUGGCAGGACGUCAGCAGAAUCGUCGUCCUGCCCAAGGUGCUAGGUUCCGACCUCCAUAGAAAAUAAAUACAGGACAUCCCACUCAGGAGAAGCCGUACAAGGUAGCAGUGACCCCAGCAAAGCCAUGGGCGAAUCAAGCUGCAGCACCAAGUGCCAACACCAUGACCAAGGCACCGUGCUACAACUGCCACAAGAUGUGGCACUUUGCUAAAGAAUGUCCCUACCCCAAGAAGCAGCAGACAACCUAUCCAGCCCGUCUACACUACACCUCGAUAGAGGAGAUCCCAGAAGGAGAACCGGUUACAUCUGGUAUGUUCCCUAUCAACCAACAUCUUGCAAUUGUUUUGUUUGAUUCUGGAUGAUCGCAUUCAUUUAUGAGUCAAGCAUUUGCACAAAAGCAUGAUCAACUAGUUACCGAGUUGGGUUGUGGUUAUCGCAUCAGUUUACCUGGGGCUAAUGUGUUGACCAACAAAGUAGUAACAUGGGCUACCUUGCAUAUCAGUGGCCGAAUGUUUCGCGUAAACCUUGUAGUCAUGCUAGGGUUAGUUUUGGACGUUAUCAUUGGUAUGAAUAAGAUGACAGACUGGGGUGCAAUCAUAGAUGUAGGUCAGAGGACUCUCUCCCUUAAGGAUCCAUAGGGGGCGUGUUGGGUAUUUUAAACGCAAACAGAAAAAUCCGCAAGCGCACGGAUACCGAUGUAGCCUUCACCCGGGAGUAUUCCAGAGUAUCGAUUUUCCACAGGGAAUGUGAGUGUACUAAUUAAGAAUCAAGAUCGCCCAAGGAUAACUAUAUGAUUAUUUUUUUUGUGGGAAGAGAGGAAGUUUCCUGAGAGUUCCCUAGUUGAUCUAAGAAUCAAGAUUUACUUCAAGAUUAUCUAUAUCGGGACAUCAGAACACUAACCACAGAAAGAGAUGAGAAGGGGGCUAGGAAGCUCCGACUACGGUCCUACAAACACCGAUCCGAAUGUGGUGGAAUACGUCGACCGUUAGGGCUGUCACUACCCUAAGGCUACCACAACAAUCCGCAGGCUUGGGUGCAAUUCCAGGUAAUCGCAAGACUAAACACCACGUCUAAUCUAUUAAUUACUACUCUAGCGUUAUAAAGACUAGAGCACUUGAUGCAAGCGGGAAUCCAAUAAAUAACUUGAAUGUAAAUAAAAGUAAUUAAGGAACUCAGGAAUUAUGAAUUGAAGAACCUGGAGAACAAUGAAGAACGAACCAGAUGCUGCAAAAGUAUAAUAUUGAGGAAAAUCCGACAGACCCGACUCCUCCUCCACUCUCCUCUUCUCUCUCCCUAUUUUCUAGAUUACAACUAGAACUAACUAGAACUAGAACUAGAGGAACUAGAACUAGAACUAGAUGAACUAGAACUAGAUCUAGAUGAACUAGAGGUAGAACUAGAAGAACUAGAGGGAUCCUCUCUACUUGGAUGAAGAAUUGAAACCCUAGCUUUGAUUCUGUAGAAGAGGUAUGAUCUCCAGGGGCCAGGGGGUCUGGUUUUAUAGUCCCUUCAAGUGAAUCUGGGUCGUCGGAUCAAACCGACAUUGAUCGUGUGGUUCUCCUUGAUCCUUUAGGUCGGUGGAGCAUAAUCCGCGAAACGUGUCCUGAUUGGGCACUGUAGCUGGGCGGGCGCCCAGGAGAGUUGGGUGGGCGCCCUGCCUCCGAGCCCGAUUUCCUUCCCGUUCGUUCCCGUGGCUUCUGGAGUCUUCUAGAUGAUAGAAAAUUGCGCGACAUGUUAAUAUCUCUAUGUAAACCCGACGUGUGGGCCUUUCUUCCGUAUUUUCUGAUAACCCCCUGCAGAAAUAGACAAACACCAAAACUCAUGGAAUUCUGUCAGAUAAAACCCUAAGUCUAGGUGUUGGUUGCAUUUGGAUCCUUUUCCAUGAUUAGUUGAUGCUUAAAUGUGAGCAUUAAGGACCGUCAACAAGCUCCCCCAAGCUUAACCUUUGCUCGUCCCUGAGCAAAGAUGAACUCAAGAGUUUCUGCAGUGGUUUCAUGCCUUAAAGGUAAAUGCGUUCAAUCAAGAUCUCAUCUCUAGGUUAGGGUAAACUGUUAAGAUUUAAACUUACUCAUUUUACCUUCCACCAUGGGGCUUGCAACCGUCACUUGUGCCUUGAGCAGUUAAAAGAUAGAACGGUCUAGUCAAGCGCCAUGUCUCUUGUUCUUGAUCAACUAUAGCUCUGGAGUUUUUGCAGAUUUUCAAAUAAAAAUCAAAGAUUCCUUGUAUGACUCUCUCUAGUCUCUCUUUUGUGGUAUUUCUGGAUCCUUACCAAGGCAGUGAUGGUGUAUGCCUUCUCUCAAAGUAUGUGGUAUUUUUGGUAUGAGGCAUAGUGGCAUUGCCUUCUCUCUCACCCUACUCUAAUAAGGUUUUGAUAUCUGGAGCUCAUAGGUGGGAGACAGCUAAUACAUACUUACAAGACAUUUAUUGCAUAGUCAAACCAUGGAUCCAGAAGAACAAGUCAAUAAGUCAAAUCAAGAUGUGCAUGUGUGGCGAAUGAAUGGUGUAUGAUGAUGAUGGUGAUAACAAUGGUGAAAAUCUAAUCCUACUUGUGCUCUUUUGAGUGGAUACAUGCCUUUCUUGCUCUUUUGAAACUUUUUGAGGAGAAUGAGAUGCUCUAUAUUUUCUUUUUAUUUUCUCUCAGGUGGGUAUCUUGUACCCCUAAUUCUACUGUCGGACACUUUUCCAUUUUUACCUCUCGUCUCACUUUUUUUUUUCUUUCGAGGUUCCGGGCACUUGCCCCUUUUUAUUUCCUCGUAUUUAUUUUUUUCUCUCUCCUUUUUAGAGCACUCAUCUCCUGAAAUAAUAUAGCAAGUGGUAGUAACCAAGAUAACUUGAGCAUUUAUUUCAAAGGGGAAAACAUAAAUGUUUUUGGCUAUUCUCUCCCGGAUUAGGAGUAGAAUAUUUUUAGGUGAUUUUGGAGAUGAAAAUGGGUGGAUAUAUGUGGAUGCGUACUUCCGAAGUAGAAGUAGCAUGUAUGAGUGAACGUGCAAGUGAAUCUUGAUUUAACCACAUGACAAGCUCCUAAGGGUCUACACAGCUUGACCACACUCAAUGCUCAUAAGUAGUAGAAAGUAAAUGUGUGGCUCAUAGUCUAGCAAGCAUGUAUAUAUGGCUGUGGUAGGAUUUUAAACUCUCAUCAUACAGGAACUCAUCAUGCAACAUUUUAAAGAUUUUUAAAGAUAAAAUUCUCCAGAAUUCUAGCAUCUCUAGGAACAGAUAAACAGCAGCUCAACCUUACCAUAUCAUAUCCGUUAACGACUUAGACUUUAGAUCAAGUACUCUUCUCACAAUUUCAGGUUUAGAGCAAAUCUUAAUUAAUAACAGUCAUGCCUAAACAUGAGAGAGAUUUCAAUUUUAAGGACUAGUCAUGGUAGAGCAACUAUUCAUCAUUUCCAUUUGAGAGCUUAUCAUGAGGGUUCAUGGCAAACUUUAUUUAUUUAUUUAUUUAGCAAACUAAGCAAAGAUAUAUAUAUAAGCACAAAAUCUUUAUUUGGGUUUAUAUGAUUAUGCAUCUUUUUAUUAUUAGAGUAAAGUAUAAACGUGAGUAGAAUACUUAGCUGGAUAAAUGGGGGUGCUCUCCCCCAAGCUGGAUUUUGACGUAAUUUCUUCUCAUGUAGCUAGCAGGUGGCUGAGGUGUAUUUGAAUGUCGGUAGCACCCUGACAGCGAUUAGGAUGUCCUCCGUCUGCUAGUCUUCUUUGAUCCUUGAAUUCUGUGGAGCUCAAAUAGACAACAAAGCUUUGUGGAACUAGUUAAGUGUUAGCAUAAAUAUCUAGCCUUUAUCAUGUUGAGCCUCCUCAAUAAAUGUUACUCUCUUUAGUAGGAUUACAAUCUUAUUUAUAUUUUCAUUUUUAUAGGAUAGGAAUAUAUAUUUAUUUUUACGCCACCACAGUGAAUGUACUUAUGGGUUUUAUGGCAUGAGCAUCUCACAUGGGGCUUACUAUUUUUAUUUUUAUUUUCUUUUCAAGAUGAUAUGAACCUGAUUAACUAAAAUAAUUGAAAGGAAAAAGAUAACUACCAAGUUUACCUCUUGGCAAGGCGUUCGGUGUUUUUAAGUCCUCCGAACGGGACUCUCUAUUUUCUCAGUUGUCCAAGAAUUCGCUGGAUGGCGUAGUCGGUGGUUCCGGCGGCGCGUACUCUUCAUGUAUAACUAUCUUCUUUCUCCACACCUACCUUGGUGCACUUCUCCUUCGUACUCUGCCCAUCCGUCCUUUAUGAUUUUCCUCCUCUGGUUACGGUUGCGUCGUCUUCUUCUUGUCCUGACCUGCUUAGAGUCUUCAACUAUAUAGUUAGGGUCAGUAAAAUAGCGGCGUACCUUCUCAGAGGGGAAAUGCAUGUGGACUUCUCCAGUUCCAAUGUAGAUGAUCGCUUUAACGGUACUGAGGAACGGUCUUCCAAUGGUGAUGGGUGGACUGUACUCGUCUUCUCCCAUGUCAAUAACCUUAAAAUCAUCUAGAGGUGAAUGUAUGUUGGUUGUAGGGGCAUGGUUCCAUGCAGGAGCUCAUAAGUGACUGCGGCCAUUAUGUUGACGUUAGAUCCGGUGUCGUAGUGUCUUCUGAAAAGAAUAUCCGUUGAUUGUGCAUCGAUGCUUGGAACACCAGGGUCGUCCUUCUUGAUCAAGAAAGGUGACUUGAGUUGACGAUCUUAACCUCCUUGAGCUGCAGUGACCAUCUUAGCUGACUCGGUACACAUUUGCUUGUUCCUGUUCCUCCUAUUGGUCCUUCCUUGGUUCAUGUCAGGAUUGCUCUA